rnacentral:rRNA from 1 species
GACGAACGCUGGCGGCGUGCUUAACACAUGCAAGUCGAACGGACGGACUCGGGAGCUUGCUCCUGAGGAAGUUAGUGGCGGACGGGUGAGUAACGCGUGGGUAACCUGGCCUAAAGAGGGGGAUAACACUGCGAAAGCGGUGCUAAUACCGCAUGAAACUGUCGAAUCGCAUGGUUUGAUAGCCAAAGGAGAAAUCCGCUUUAGGAUGGACCCGCGUCUGAUUAGCUGGUUGGUGGGGUAAAGGCCUACCAAGGCGACGAUCAGUAGCCGGCCUGAGAGGGUGAACGGCCACACUGGGACUGAGACACGGCCCAGACUCCUACGGGAGGCUG